GAGGCGGCGCGGCGCGUGGGGGCUGAUUGCAGGGCAGCCAUCACCCCGCUCCCGUGCCGCUGCCCCACAGCGCUGCGUGGGACAUCCCCUGCCCCAGGUCCUUCCCCUGCCCCUCUGUGUGUGUGCACACCCGUCUGCGUGUGCUUUCAUUCCUGUUCUGUCUGUGCUGCCACACGUGUGAACCUGUGUCUGCUCUCAGGCGUACCGGUGCCACUGAGCCAGGCGGACGGGGUGACACUGCGGGAGCGUUACGUGCUCUGUCUGCUUCCUUCAAGGACAAAAUAUUUGAACACGAUGAGUAAAGACAUUUAUCACCCGG